rnacentral:rRNA from 1 species
GAUGAACGCUAGCGGCAGGCUUAACACAUGCAAGUCGAGCGGAGAUGAGGUGCUUGCACCUUAUCUUAGCGGCGGACGGGUGAGUAAUGCUUAGGAAUCUGCCUAUUAGUGGGGGACAACAUUCCGAAAGGAAUGCUAAUACCGCAUACGCCCUACGGGGGAAAGCAGGGGAUCUUCGGACCUUGCGCUAAUAGAUGAGCCUAAGUCGGAUUAGCUAGUUGGUGGGGUAAAGGCCUACCAAGGCGACGAUCUGUAGCGGGUCUGAGAGGAUGAUCCGCCACACUGGGACUGAGACACGGCCCAGACUCCUACGGGAGGCAGCAGUGGGGAAUAUUGGACAAUGGGCGGAAGCCUGAUCCAGCCAUGCCGCGUGUGUGAAGAAGGCCUUUUGGUUGUAAAGCACUUUAAGCGAGGAGGAGGCUACCUGGAUUAAUACUCUAGGAUAGUGGGCGUUACUCGCAGAAUAAGCACCGGCUAACUCUGUGCCAGCCGCCGCAGUAAGAC